ensembl:misc_RNA Metazoa_SRP Metazoan signal recognition particle RNA
GCUGGGCGUGGUGGUGUGCGCCUGUAAUCCCAGCUACUCUGGAGGCUGAAGCAGGAGAAUCGCUUGAACCUGGGAGGCCAAAGUUGCAGUGAGCUGUGCCACUGCACUCUAGCCUGGGUAACAUAGUGAGACUUCGUCUCAA